GGUAUCAUAACUUUGCAAAUUCAGAGGAUAGAAGAAAAUGAAACAUGUUCAGAUUGUGAUACUCUACAAAAACAUUGCCAGUUUUGCGUGAUUCCUGUACAGCUGAAUCAUAGUGGUUCAUUCUUUGAGGAAUUGAGGACUAAACUUACACCAGGACAAAAGUAUAUAAUUGGAGACAGCUGGUCAAGCCAUGUAGAAGAAAUCCCUGUACCGACUAUGUGUUUAGUGUAUAGAGGAGCUUCAUACACAGAAUACGUAUCCUGCAAUAAUGUUUUUAAUGAUGGAUGCAGCAAUUCU